AUGGCGGAUAGCUGGGUUGCCAGCAUGAUCCCAAAUUACCUUCUUUUUGCUUACUCUUGCUUUGCUUGUAGGGCCAAGUUAGUUCAAGACGUAAUAUGGGGCAGGAAGAUAUCAGCAGAAGAAGAUAGCCCCUGUUCUUCCUUAUGCCAAUGGGGCCAGAUCCUCUGCUUCUCUGAGAGCAGAGUACAGCUUCUGGAAAGGAAGGCAGCAGACUGCACAGAGGACAGCAAUGAAGGAGCUUCCCUCUGCUCAGCAUCUCUAAAAUAAUCUUAAAAACACCUCAAAACCCGGAAAGUUAUGGGAACACUCCAACAGAUGCAGAGAAUUACAGCUGUUAAGCAUUCCUUGUAAUAAUGAGAGAAAAAGUCAAGAAAAAGGUUUUUCUCAUUCCACUUUGCUUUGUAUUGAGAAGGGAAACUGAGUAGGUUAGCUAGAAAUAGGGACUUGGUAAAGGAGAACUAAAGUGCUCAUCACUCCAGUGCCAGCUGGCAGAGGAUGCACUCUGGUCCUACAGAGGGAGGGACACAUGCACAGUGCAGGCCCAGUCCCAGCUGCACCUUUUUUAUUUUUUUUUGGAAAACUGUAAUUAUUGUUAACAUUUUAGGUAAGCUUGGGUAAGUGGGAUGAGCUUUAAGACCAGAGUACAGAGCUUUCAUGUUUUUCUAUAGGGGAAAGUCCUGUUCUGGUUCUAGCAACACUGACUGGCAGGGAACAAAGAGACAUGUUUGGGAGAGAUCACUGAACACAUACCUGAUAAAGAAUGCUACUCAAAAACAUUCUCCUGGUGGAUCUCAAAUGUUCAAGCCAGCUUUCCUACCCUGACUGAUCCACCACCUACAUCUCAGAAAACUCUUGGGGUCCUUUGCUGAACAUGAGACCUGACAUUUAAGCCUUCACUGAGCUGCCUCCCAGUCAGCCCCAAGCCCAUACUGGUGUGGGUGGUUAUUCCAUCCCAGAUGCAAGGCUCUUGCUUUGCACUUGCUUUGGUUGAAACUCAUGAGGUUCCUGUCACCCCAUUUCUCCAGCCUCUUCAUGUCACUUCAGAUAGCAGCCCUGCCCUCCAGCAUAUUGAAUCCCUCACCCAACCUCACUGUAAGAGCACACAGUCCCACCAUCCCGAUUGUUAAUGAAGACAUUAAACUGCAUUGGUACCAGUACUGAUCCCUGAGGGAUCAUUCUCUCAGACUCUGCCAGCAGGCUCAGAGACCUGUGAGGCCUGGGGUCAAAUAGCAGUGAUAACAGGCAAAAAAGGCAUAAAGCUGCAGGA
rnacentral:lncRNA from 1 species